rnacentral:rRNA from 1 species
AGUGAACGCUGGCGGUAGGCCUAACACAUGCAAGUCGAACGGCAGCACAGUAAGAGCUUGCUCUUACGGGUGGCGAGUGGCGGACGGGUGAGGAAUACAUCGGAAUCUACUUUUUCGUGGGGGAUAACGUAGGGAAACUUACGCUAAUACCGCAUACGACCUACGGGUGAAAGCAGGGGAUCUUCGGACCUUGCGCGAUUGAAUGAGCCGAUGUCGGACUAGCUAGUUGGCGGGGUAAAGGCCCACCAAGGCGACGAUCCGUAGCUGGUCUGAGAGGAUGAGCAGCGACACUGGAACUGAGACACGGUCCAGACUCCUACGGGAGGCAGCAGUGGGGAAUAUUGGACAAUGGGCGCAAGCCUGAUCCAGCCAUACCGCGUGGGUGAAGAAGGCCUUCGGGUUGUAAAGCCCUUUUGUUGGGAAAGAAAAGCAGCAGGUUAAUACCCCGCUGUUCUGACGGUACCCAAAGAAUAAGCACCGGCUAACUUCGUG